UUAUGUGUAAUAUUACUUUAUGAUGAUAUUAAUAUGCUGUGUGCACCUAAACAUUUCUCAUAGAUCUGAAUUGCUAUGCAGUGCUGAGGUGGAGGUCGCUUUUAAAAGGGAAACACUAGAAUCUGGAGCGGUAGGAGUUACCAUGGAAAUGGGGCGGAAACUCAACAAGCAGCAAAACAUGUCUCCCACUGUUGUUUUCACAAAUUUCAGCAGUUUCAGAAAAAACUUCUACAACACAGGAAAAGUUCCUGAUUUUAAAAUUACUGAGGGGAGCUGCUGACAGAGAUAUAGAAACAGAAUCUUCCAUGCUAAUGGCCGUGCACCAGAGUUAAAGCGUAUCUCCUGUCGAAGAACAUCUCUAGACAUUAUGAACCAUAUGACUAUCACAGCUAAAUAAAACCAAAGUCCAUUCAACCACAGGUCACUGCAUCUUUUGCUGUAUGCUGGAGAAAAAGCAGCCAGGCUAAAGCAUUUGAAGUGGAAACUUUUGUUGUGGCUCAAAAAUCCAGGAUUGGGAUGGUGGAAGGAGCAGAAGAUCAGAUAUCAGGCAGAGAUACUGAUUCCCCUGAGGGAACCGUUUAACUAAUGUGUUAGUUGAACCAAAAAUUUUCAGCACUCACUGUCUAUUUCACAGUUUAUAAAACUACCA